GCCACACGCACACCCAAUCCCCUCCCCUCCAACCCUAGCCGCCCCCUCCCCUCCCUCUCCACGGCGCCGCCGCCUCCUCCCCUUCUGCCCUGCUCUCCACCGUGCCGCCUCUUCCUCCUCUUCAAUGCCCUCUCCAGCGGCGGCAAAGAACGGCGGUGCUCGAUCCGAUCUGCUGAAGAGAAAAGAUGAGAGAGGGAGAGAGACAAGGAAUGAGAGGAGGGAGAAAGAUAGAGGAAAGAGGAGAGCGAGGUGUGAUGGCGGAUGAGAGAGGGUGACCGGAAGGAGCGUGACGACCUGCAGACAAAGGGCGGUGGCGGCGCCGCUCGAUUUGAUCUGCGGGAUAGAGAAGAUGAGAGGGAGAGAGAGAAGGAAGAACAUGAGAGGAGGGAGAAAGAGAGAGGAAAGAGGAGAGGGGGUCGACGGCCGACAGCAGAGGACCACCGGAAGGAGUGCCGCUGGCUCGUCGUCUUCCACACCGCACUAUAGCAGAGCUACCUCUGUACAACCCACACGCACGCAGAAUACAAGAGGAAGACUAAGAACAAGGUGAGCUCUCUCUCCCCCUAAUCUGCCUAGAUUGCAAGUAUACAUGUGCAUACUUAAUUACUAUUUAGCUGUUCUAUUGCGUUCUUAGUUCUUUCUUUUUUUAGCCAUGCAUUUCUUCUGUCUAUAAGAGUACACCAUUCUUCGAUUGAUCACUCUUGGAUGAUUCCUUUUGUUUGAGGAACUCAAAUUUUCAGUUGCAAGCAUGCAGUUUGGCCAAUGAUGCAGGGUGAUCUGGUUGUUCUGUUGGAGCUGAAAGUUUGGACGGGUACUGAAUAGUGUGAAUUACAUCUGUAAAUAACAACAUGAGGAUCAGGGAUGCAAGCGGCUGGAUUCCAAAACUACCCCCCCCCCCCCCCCCACCCCCCAUGUUUUGCUCGAUAAAUCAAGUUUUUUUUUUUUGCAAUGCUCAAUGGCCUGAAUGUACGAAAUGAGACAAUUCACACCCUUGAUUUCAUAGCAGGUCUCAUGGUUCAGUAGCAAGUAUCGUUAAUCUAACUACCUUCUCCAAAAUGUCAUUUUUCAAUUGAUUUUAGUUCCCUUUUGUAUUCAGUUUUUAAAUUGGUUUCAACUGUCUUUUGGCACUCAAAUGUGAUUAAGUGCAGUAACAUGUAGCAUUUAGUUUAUUUGGUUGACAGUUUAUAACCUCAGCAAGGAGCACGUGACAUUGAUGCCAUCACUGAGCUCAAGAUGGUGCCUUGCAAUGAUCAUUGCACUUCUCUUCCAUACAUCAGUGCCACUUCCAAAGCGGAGUGCCUCCUAGAGGAUAGUCUCUAUUAUCAGAAGGGAACACACUUUCGAAAUAAUAACAUUAUAGGAAGAAGAAGCUGAACUGGAAUAUGUGUCUUCUCUUCCUGAAAGUUUCCUUAAAUGAUUCAGUGCCCCAUGAAAUUAAUCUGGACUGAAAUUACAUAUUUUUAUUAGGUGAAGCAGCACAGAAGACAAAGAAGGCAUAUUGUGCGAGAGCGGCGAUGGCAUGGACGAGCUUGCCUGCUCCCGGUUCGGGUACCAAUGGGACAGCGACACGUUCUACCUUGCACUAAAUGCGAUCGUAUAGAGACACGAUGGAUAUGCCCAAUCCUACAGUGGCAUACGGAGCCAGCUUCGUGUGAGAUGACGGUGGGUUAGCAGUCCAUCAUGCACAUGUUCCGUUGGUACAAAUCUCUUCUCGCGGUACACAGCGACUACCAUCAGUUGCGGCCUGGCGCGCAAACGUCGUCUUCCUAAUAAACAGAUAAGGGUGCACAACAUUGUGGAUCCAACCUUGCCGGCGACGCUGAGAAAAAAAGGCAAAUCUAUCCAUUCGGGCACCGCACGAGGCGAGAAGCUCGGAGCUAUGGUGAUGGCGGCGGCGGGAGGCGACGGAUUCGAGUUCCUAGCAGAUCCGGUUCACAGGUUUCCCUUGCUGGAUCUCGCCGCCGGCGGCUCUUUACUGCGCAGUGAAGCCAAGCAAGCUGUGGUACACACGCCCGCCGAAUCCAGCAUUUGUGAUGUGGGCGAUGCGGCGCCGACACCUGACAGUACAACUAUAUUUGAACAUCGCUUGCAAUGGGAUGGCCCUGUCGACGCCGAACUCAGAGCAAUCGAUGGGCAAGGACGAUCCUCAGCCGCCUGGCUGGACCAAGAGGGUGCGUGUUGGGCAUGCACCUGAUGAACGUCCCCCAUGUGCUGGCAGAAUGAGUGCCUUGAAAAAACAUUUAGAAGAUAUGUAGUUCCUGCGGUAGGAAGCCACUUUAAUUCACUUGGAGAAGCAUAUGUCUAUUACAAUCUGUAUUCUAGGGACACUGGGUUUGGAAUAACGUACGGCAAGAGCAGGCUUAAUGUUGAAAGGAUAAAUGCAUGCAGGAGAUACUAUGUGGCUGCUCCUGCUCGGUAAGCGCUGUUUUCAAUGGACCAUCACAUACCAAAUUGGCCGGUGUAUCGGACAUAACAUUUAGCGUCAAUGAAAAGAGAAAUGAAUAAGUUUGACACACUGUUGUACAUGCAACUUCUUUUUGAUAGGGAAGCAAGUGAGAACUAUGAAGAGAGACGUACAAAGAUACUAGCCCCCGUAAUGAAAAUGAACACACCACUGGAGUUGCAUGCUAGCGAUAUGUACACACGAGCCAUGUUUGAAAAGUUUGGCGAAAUUAUGUAUGAAGCAGGGCAGUACAAAGUAGAGGAGGUCAGUAAAGGGAAAAUCUAUUUCGUGCGACGAUACCAUCCAGAGAAACAUGAAAAGUGGUGCGGGGUGUGUACAAAGUGGAAGUUGUUGAGGAAGGGAGGGAACUGAUAUGUGAGUGUGCUAAUUUCGAGCACACAUUCUUGCUCUGCUGCCAUGCAGUUAAGGUCCUUGAUUUCCUCGGCAUAUACCAGAUACCAGCAAAACAUAUUCUGAAACGUUGGACAAAGGAUGCAAGAGAUGUAUUGUCAACCCACUUAAGGAUGCAAGAGAUGUAUUGUCAACCCACUUAUCACACCUUCAGAAGGAUAGCAUUUCAGUGAAUUCAAUAACCUUUAGGCACUCAAAUCUUCACACACAUGCACUCGAAGUGGUGAGGCUGGAGACGCAAAUACAGAGGCCUAUGACUAUGAGUGUGCAAUGGACAUCUUGAAGAUAGCAAUGGAUAAACUGACACCGAUAGCCGCCAUGCGAGAUGGAAUGUGAUUGCAUUGGAAGACAAAAUUCAGCCAAACAAGGGAUGUCUACACCUGAUUCAGGCGGGGGCUCUGUUAGCCAUGUGUCUUCCAGCUCUAGAUCGACUGCCCUUGCAGUCAGCGAUGAGCACUACCUGCAUCUUCAGUUCUUGCAAUCUGAUGAUCAUGUCGCUGGCGGCAGUGCUCCAGGGCAUGCGGCUUUCGUGCAGGUCGGUGAUUGAGGAUACCGUGUACGGGAGGGCUGAUGGUGUAUCGAUGGCAGAUGAAGGUUGCGAAGAUGAGUCACAAGUCCAGUCCCGUUCUUCAACCGUGGAAGAGGUGGGUACCUAUGAUCCAGAAAAUCAGAGCUACGCCGGCGGUGAUAACUGGUCCGAGACAGGAAGCUACUCCGAGUUAAGGACCAAGGUUGCUGAUGGAUCCAUCAGCGGCGUCGAUGGUGAGAGACGCGCAGCAAAGCGAGCAAGAGUUGAGGACUGAUGUGUUCCGAAGAUGCUUAAAGCUGUUACCCUUAGUAACCGCUGAACUCAGCGGUGAAAUCCUAGACUAAAAAAGGUGUUUGUGUUAAGAUUAGUGGCGUACAAGUUUGCGCCAGUGUGUUGCGGUGGGUUCAAUGUCGAUCUAGGAGUCCUGGUAGGUUUGUGUGGAAAAAAUAAAAGGAGGUUAGGUUUUGGUUUGUCGAAAUCCACGUAUGUUGAUUGGAUUAUGUUUUCAUGUGUGGUGUCUGCCCCCAAUGACUGGUCAACUCAUGCUCGUUUGCAACUUUGGUACAUCGAACAUAUAAAUCGUCGUAGACUA